UAAUAAACAAUAAAGUUGUAUAAAAUGAAAACAUGCUUUGUGACCUAUCUGUACCCUGCCAGUGAUUUCUAUUCAUUUUCUUCACUUAAUUUCCUCUGCAAUUACACAAAGUCUAAAGGUGACGUCCCCAGGAGCAGGACAUGAAUGAAGGGUACAUAGUGGUCUUAUAAAAGACCCAUUCAGGUUUGGCUGUGAGUGGGACUCUUAAAGCCAAGUCGAGUCCACUUUUAAUAGCAGAUUAGGAAAUCUUCUGGAUGAGAGAUGUGAGGACCUGGAACCCAUGGUUAUUAUCUGGGAACUCUUACUGAGGUCACGUGGCCUGGAAAACAGCUGCAUAAAAAAUUGCAUCUAAUUCUCUGUUCGUGAGAAUGAAUUCUUCAUGUUCUGGUGGUUCUCAUGAGUUGGUUUGGGGUUGCAUGCAUAGGAUUUAUAAAGUUUUUAAGUGUUUUUGUGUUGUUUUUUUCUGUAUAUAUUAAAAAUGUAAGCAAUGUUUUUUUAAGAAAACAAAUCAUGCUAAACCAGAGGAAACAAAAGUGAUUUACAAUUCAGAGGGGUUUAAAUUAGUUUGGAUGUGGUUUGUAAUGACACAAACUGCAGUGUGUGUUUAAAAAGAAAUAUAAAAACAAAUUAGCAAUUUGUUUGCAAAAUUUGAAACAUAAAUCUUUUAAAUGUUACCAUGCAGGAAUCUUUAAUAAUCAUAACUCAUCAUCACCAUAACUUCAAUGGUACAAUGUUCAGUUUCAAUACAACUAUAUUCAAUUUCCAGUUUCUACCUUUGUCUUUUAUCCUCUUUGCAGUAGAUUUUUGCCCACUUGGCAUUCACAUCUCCUCUGCAAUGUUUCCUUCACUCUCCUUCUCUUCAUUGUUCCUCUCACCACUUCUCUCGCUUCAACUUCUACACCAUCUCUCCUCCUCCUCUUCCUCUCUGAUCCCCCUCUUUUUCUCAUCACCGUCCUCUGUUCAGUCUCCCACAUCCUCUUGGAUUCCUCUCUUGGUCUCAUGCUCAUGACUCAUCAUCCCACAUGGAAACAUUUUCUCUGUGAAUGUGAGAGAGAUUUUACUGCUGUUAAUGAAAAUUUAAACAAACAACCCCCACCCCCACCCCCACCCCCAAUGCGGAGCAAAGGGAAAAAGUGAAAAAAGGGAAAUCUGCUUUUUCUCCUCUUAUCCAAAUAUUGCUACUUUUGAUGAAAGCUUUAUAAACUUGUCUAUGAUGCAUUAGCAUUUAGUAUCUGGUAAUGGCAAACAACAUGUGAAAUGUCAGACAAUUUGUCAGUGAAGACUGCCCCCUAGUGGCUCAUCCCGUCCCUUAUGUAACAUCUUCCCCUAUCCAAGGCAUUCCCUGUUAGGUUAAACCUCUCAGCUAUCAUGAGGCUGCUUAACAGAUCAUCUCCACCUGAUUUAGACAUUGCCAGAACUGCUGAACUAUGUCAUUUCCAGACUCCACCUGCACAAACUAUAUUUUUAAAAAGUUAUUAUAUUUAUUUAAUGUGUAUGAAUUCAUAAUAUGUACAUAGUUAUCACUAUCACAUUUAUCCAACAGCUCCAGUUACUAGUUACUUUUCAGUUUAAGAUUUUACUGGAGAAAAGAAACCAACAUGAUAAAAUGCAUCAUGUUGUGGAAUAUCAACCUUCCUUCUCCUUCCUAAAUGUUUUGGCUUGUGUCUCAAAAAACAGUGUCUGGGGCUUGUUGUCACAUUUCAAAUGUCUAAGAGUUCUUCAGCCUCUCAUUUAAACAACUGUUUGAGGCACAAUAUGUAAAAAGAUCCAGUUUUCCACAAAAAAGCACAGACUGCAGAACAAUACAAAAUCAACAGGUACACACUUUUGAAGCAGAAUUUAGUUUUUCUUUUGUCUUGUGACCGUUACAAAAGGCCCCACUCUUACACUUGAAACCACUGAACUAACAUGCCUAUAAAGUAGUUAAAACCAGCUCUACCUCAAAGAGCUACAUCAGUAAAACAUUGCUCACACAUUAAUGUAUCAGUAUUAACAACCCAAUAAUGUCACCCGAGAGCCUUGCAGUCCUCUGUAACAUCAUGUGAUUGGCAUGUUCUAUGAUGCAAUGCAGAGGACACCUUUGACCCCUGGAAAAAAUGACCUCACAAAACAUAGACUCUAAGUGAACAUCUGGGUGAAAGACACUAGGACACUGACUCGGUUGAAAUCCCAUAACUUUUCUUUUUUUUCACCAUAACACACACAAAAAGAAACAAAUCUAUCCAGUAAGAUCUUUCCAGUAAUCUUUCCUCUCUUUUUUAGUUUCUUCUGUGUUCAUGUUAACUGUCUCUACAAUCUGCUAUCUGUCUGGAGGCUCACUGUAAACAAAAAUAAGAGGAUUAUACAAAUAAUACAAAACAGCAAUCUCAACCAGUUCAAGGUAAACAGGUUGGACUGGAAACAUCUGAGCGACAAAGACCUCUGCGGUGUAAACCAUGACACUUGUGUUUGACAGCAUAUUCUUGGAUUGGUGCAACCAGCAGUGACUGGUGAGUUCUGUUUAUACAGUUAAUGUUACCAUUUUUAGAGUUGAACUCUGCAUGCCAUGACCUUUAACCUUUACUGAAGCAAGUAGCUACUGCUGCUUGCCUCUGUGGGGCACUUCACUUUGAGGCUGAAAUACAGGUCAUGCAUUACACAGGAUGAACAAAAAAAGAUCACAAUUUUAAAAAAAUUGUCUAAAUCCUAACUGGCCUUCUUCAUUGAACCAAUAUGUGACUAUUAAACCCUGCUGCUGGACCCACAGCAGUAAAAAUCCAAUAAACCUAUUCUGAAAACACAGCAUGACCUUACGUCCUCACUUCAAAGCAUUCUUCUAGCUGGUUCACAACAUUGCCUUGACAUAUUUUAUGUAUUAUAUGAAUGUGCAAAAUGGUGUCAGUUAUCCACACGCAUCAAGUUACCUAGCAUUAAUGGUCUGAAAGGGUUUUAAGGAGCACCAGAACUGUUCUGUAAAGACUGAUUUAGUAUCCACAUGCAGGAUAGAAGCUCAUGUUUUUCAAACAAACUCAUUUUCCUCACCAGUUAAGUUAAAGAUGUGCAGAGAUUUGUGCUGCACUGGGCUUCUUCCCUGUGUGUAUGAAACCUGUCAGUGUACAAAUAUUUACAGAAACUUUACAUUCACUGGCUAGUCAUUGAAAGUAAUCAGGGUUCAAUUGUGGAGCAUUUACAAAAUUCACAAAUUCAUCAAACACAUUCCUCAAAGUUUUAGAACAUUGUCACAGUUUUUUUUUAAAAUGUACACAGUUCAAGUCCAGUGCAUAACCUUGAAAAGUUAAGCUGCUCCAGGUUAAAGAUAGAUAAAUAAAAAUAAGGUACUAAUACCUAGAUCAGCAAAGUGAUUAAAAGCUUUAAAACAAAUGUGAAAUAAAAAGUGCAGUAUUUCCCUCCUAAAUAUAGUGGAGUAAAAUAA